rnacentral:lncRNA from 1 species
AAAUAAAUAAGUUAAGGAAAAUAAUAUAAAGAGGAAGAUAACCAAUAAAAAGUGAAUGAUAAUCAUAAAACUAAAACUAAAAAUAAAAAAUAAUAAUAAAAAUAAAAAUAAACAAAUUAACAAAAAAUGGGCCCCACGAGCCAUGCAAACACGCAAGUCAUAUAAGUUACGCUAAAAAAAAAAGUCUUAAUAGACCCAGUACACCUAAACGGGCCUAAGGUGAGACUAAGUGGGCCUAAGGUGGUGCCUAAUGGGCCAAG